rnacentral:rRNA from 1 species
CCUACGGGAGGCAGCAGUGGGGAAUAUUGGACAAUGGGCGAAAGCCUGAUCCAGCAAUGCCGCGUGAGUGAUGAAGGCCUUCGGGUCGUAAAGCUCUUUUACCAGGGAUGAUAAUGACAGUACCUGGAGAAUAAGCUCCGGCUAACUCCGUGCCAGCAGCCGCGGUAAUACGGAGGGAGCUAGCGUUGUUCGGAAUUACUGGGCGUAAAGAGUACGUAGGCGGUUAUUCAAGUCAGAGGUGAAAGCCCGGGGCUCAACCCCGGAACUGCCUUUGAAACUAGAUAGCUAGAGUCUUGGAGAGGUUAGUGGAAUUCCGAGUGUAGAGGUGAAAUUCGUAGAUAUUCGGAAGAACACCAGUGGCGAAGGCGACUAACUGGACAAGUACUGACGCUGAGGUACGAAAGCGUGGGGAGCAAACAGGAUUAGAUACCCUGGUAGUCCACGCCGUAAACGAUGAUAACUAGUUGUUCGGUCACUUGGUGACUGAGUGACGCAGCUAACGCAUUAAGUUAUCCGCCUGGGGAGUACGGUCGCAAGAUUAAAACUUAAAGGAAUUGACGG